AUACUGCGCAAUGGAGGGAACUCUGACGCAGCGACGCUGCGUGAGCGAUGAAGGUUUUCGGAUCGUAAAGCUCUGUCCUUGGGGAAGAAGGCGGCCAUGCUUGGCUACUUGACGUUACCCAAGGAGGAAGCUCCGGCGAACUUCGUGCCAGCAGCCGCGGUAAUACGUAGGGGGCAAGCGGUGUCAGGAAUUAUUGGGCGUAAAGGGUGGGUAGGCGGCCUUUUAAGUAUGAUGUGAAAUCUCGUAGCUUAACUACGAGCGAUCAUUGGAGACUGGAAGACUUGAGGACAGAAGAGGAGAGUGGAAUUCCACGUGUAGCGGUGAAAUGCGUAGAGAUGUGGAGGAACACCAGUGGCGAAGGCGACUCUCUGGUCUGUAACUGACGCUGAGGCGCGAAAGCGUGGGGAGCGAACA
rnacentral:rRNA from 1 species